rnacentral:misc_RNA from 1 species
AUUUUCUUCAGACGUUGUCAAUCAAAUGACCAAAUCUGGAAAUGCUACAAAUGCACAUACCAACAAGCCAACAAAACAAUCGAGACCCAUGCAAGCGAGACGCAUUGUGAGUGCAAUAUGUAGGCGAAGCGAAACAUGAGCCCUAAGAGAGAGAGCAGUUCGUCAAUCCGUGGGUCUCUAUCUGGUGGUGAGGGAGUGGAGGAGAGGAAGUGAAGAGUGAGGAGGGAAGAAGAUGGUCAGGUCGAGGGCUCAGGGAGUGAGGGAAUGG